CCUACGGGUGGCAGCAGUGGGGAAUAUUGCACAAUGGGCGAAACCCUGAUGCAGCGACGCCGCGUGAGGGAAGAAGUAUCUCUUUAUGUAAAGCUCUAUCAGUAGGGGAGUAAAUGACGGUACCUGACUAAGAAGCCCCGUCUAACUACGUGCCAGCAGCCGAGGUUAUACGCCGGAGGCCAGCGUUAUCCGGAUUUACUGAGUGUAAAGGGAGCGUAGGCGGCUUUGUAAGUCAGAGGUGAAAGGCUGGGGCUCAACCGCAGGACUGCAGUGGAAACCGGAGGGCUGGAGUACAGGAGAGGUAAGUGGAAUUCGUAGUGUAGCGGUGAAAUGCGUAGAUAUUAGGAGGAACACCAGUGGCGAAGGCAGCUUACUGGACUGUAACUGACGCUGAGGCUCGAAAGCGUGGGGAGCAAACAGGAUUAGAUACCCGAGUAGUC
rnacentral:rRNA from 1 species